UACGAAGGGGGCUAGCGUUGUUCGGAAUCACUGGGCGUAAAGGGCGCGUAGGUGGUUUGAUAAGGGUGUGGUGAAAGUCCGGAGCUCAACUCCGGAUCUGCCGUGCCGACUGUCAAACUCGAGGGCUGUAGAGGCAGACGGAAUUCCGGGUGUAGCGGUGGAAUGCGUAGAGAUCCGGAGGAAGACCGGUGGCGAAGGCGGUCUGCUGGGCAGUUUCUGACACUGAGGCGCGAAAGCGUGGGGAGCGAACAGG
rnacentral:rRNA from 1 species